rnacentral:misc_RNA from 1 species
GCAAACUUGGUCAUUUAGAGGAAGUAAAAGUCGUAACAAGGUUUCCGUAGGUGAACCUGCGGAAGGAUCAUUACCGAGUGUGGCCCCAUUUUUUAAAAACAAAUAGGGGUACCUCCCGUCCUUUGCAGGGCCCUUUGGGGCUUUUUGAACUUUGCUUCGGCGGGUUUACCCCCGCCGGAACACCCUCAAGAAAAUCUUUUUAAAAAAACUGUUGUCUGAGCAUAUACAAAAUAAAACAAAACUUUCAACAACGGAUCUCUUGGUUCUGGCAUCGAUGAAGAACGCAGC